GACGAACGCUGGCGGCGUGCCUAAUACAUGCAAGUCGAACGCAGUGGGGACGGGUGAUUAACACGUGGGUAACCUCCCAUCAGAGGGGAUAACACUUGGCAACAGGUGCUAAACCGAUACUGAUGGAUGGACCCGCUGGGCAUUAGCUAGUUGGUGAGGUAACGGCGCACCAAGGCCACGAUGCAUAGCCGGCCUGAGAGGGUGAUCGGCCACACUGGGACUGAGACACGGCCCAGACUCCUACGGGAGGCAGCAGUAGGGAAUAUUCGGCAAUGGACGAAAGUCUGACCGAGCAACGCCGCGUGAGUGAAGAAGGUCUUCGGAUCGUAAAACUCUGUUGUUAGAGAAGCGGUAUCUAACCAGAAAGCCACGGCUAACUACGUGCCAGCAGCCGCGGUAAUUC
rnacentral:rRNA from 1 species